CAUCCCGGCCUUCUUUUGCCUCUUUAAGCCGUGACACUUCUUCAGUGGAGCCGUGCACUUAACACAACUUGAGACGAUGUAGAAAUGGACUGGACAUGUGUGCCGUUUAAACUCGUUUACAUAUGGUGCUGAUGAUUAUAAAAAUUAUUACGGAGAAGGCGAGAUGGAAUGUAAGGGAAACUUUAUAUAACAAGUAUGUCGAUCAUAGGCGCGGUGUAAUUCGGAUCAGUUUUUGAGGGCUUGGCUCUGGGAGGCUUGGCAUGCCUGCUGAUUUCAUCUAACUGGACUAACUCCGUGGUACCAAACAUGUCAAGAAAAAAAAGAAUGUAUUCAGUAAUAUGAGAAAGAUGAAGAAAUAUGUGCUUUAGAGAGGAGCAGAAACUUACGAAGAACAAACUUGCAGGAUCUGUAAGGAUAGUGUGGGUAAGCCAGUGUUGAGCUGGGCCUGAACACAUCGUGCAUGGCUUUAGCCUAGCCUUCUCAUCCCCGAACAAUGAACGCUAGUAAAGUCCGGAAUUUCCCUUGUUUGUGCUUCCUCUUUGCCUUGAUUAGCUCUGUCAACUGUACUACCAGGUGUUCCAGGAAGAACCAUGCCCGGGAGACAGGCCCUGUGCCCGUAACGGCUUCUGCCCUAACCCUGCCGGUCAGUUCUGUGAGGUGACAGGGGCAGAAGAGGCGGGUGAUUGCGAUGAGGAACUCGGGUUCGUCUGUGUGGAGACCUCUCCUGGCGAAGAAGGGGGGAUCUGCAAGGGUUCCUUCGGGCUUACGGCAGGGGAAGUGACAUACACCAGUAUUCAUAUAACAUGGACAGACUUCGCGCCCAGGAACUAUGAGUACGAGUACAUUGUCUUCUGGACAAAAUACUUCCAGGGGAACCUCACGGAAUGGGAGGAUGAACAGGUUGGCCAAGUGCCAUCGGCCACGCUUGACAAGCUGGAGCAGAACACCCUGUACUUUAUCAGAGUGGGCACAUGGGACAACCAGAAGUAAAACCGCUUCAAAAACCUCUCCGAGGUUAUCAUGGUCACAACAAUGGG